CCACGGGGAGCUGCAGUGGGGAAUAUUGGACAAUGGGCGAAAGCCUGAUCCAGCCAUGCCGCGUGUGUGAAGAAGGCCUUCGGGUUGUAAAGCACUUUCAGUGGGGAAGAAAGCCUUGGGGCUAAUACCCUCGAGGAAGGACAUCACCCACAGAAGAAGCACCGGCUAACUCCGUGCCAGCAGCCGCGGUAAUACGGAGGGUGCGAGCGUUAAUCGGAAUUACUGGGCGUAAAGCGCGCGUAGGCGGUCUGAUAAGCCGGUUGUGAAAGCCCCGGGCUCAACCUGGGAACGGCAUCCGGAACUGUCAGGCUAGAGUGCAGGAGAGGAAGGUAGAAUUCCCGGUGUAGCGGUGAAAUGCGUAGAGAUCGGGAGGAAUACCAGUGGCGAAGGCGGCCUUCUGGACUGACACUGACGCUGAGGUGCGAAAGCGUGGGUAGCAAACAGGAUUAGAUACCCUUGUAGUC
rnacentral:rRNA from 1 species